UUUUUUUUGUUUUUAGGCGAAGUAUUUCUUGACUGCAUCUGGAAUUCACAGGACGAGUGAACUUCUCCAUCCAUUGUUGUAAGUGUCGAAACAUUGCCUGAAGAGGCUCUCUUGUCAACACAUGGACUUUCAUAGCUUGGAGUUCACUUGCCCCUGGAAUUGGGCACGAAAGACAAGGCUUUCUUGAGCAUGAGGUCCCUCGGAACACACGAGGCUUGACCUUCUUGUUGAAUGCUUUUUCACUUUCUGCUGAUAUGACUGACCAUGACACAUGGCAGUUGAUCUCUUCUUUUCGAUCGAAUUCAGCAUCAGCCAACUAGGGACUUUGAGGGUGCUAUUUUCUUUUAUUUCUUUCUUUCUUUUUCUUUCUUUUGAUUUCUUUUGAUUUUGAUUUUUUUUUCGCACCCUCCUCUUUCUUCUUUCUUUUUUUCUUUUUUUUUCUUUUUUUUUUUUGAUAAUGCCCCAGUUGGCUGUUCUGCUGAUUCUCGAGAUGCAGCUGAGUGUGA
rnacentral:lncRNA from 1 species